CGGCAGCUGCGCGUUCGGCUCCUGCUGCGCAUCGCUCAUCUUCCCCGUCAUCGGCUGAAGGCUGCUGGACGGCGGACUGAACCUGCGGCUGGUGCUCGGAUCUACCGGAAUGCGCAUCACAACAAUGUCAGCAAAGAUGAGCAACAGCACCUCCAGUCCCAUGACAGCCGGCUCCAGCGGCGCGGCGACCGGACGGGGAACCGGAAGAGUCACCAGCUUCGUUCCGGAACUCCAGAGCAUGAUGUUUGCUCUGGGUGACGCGAGACGGCCGCUGCACGAGACCGCCGCCCUGGUGGAAGAUAUUGUACACACACAGCUCAUCAAUCUGCUGCAUCAGGCAGCGGAUGUGACACUCCUCAGAGGAGCUCGAGUCAUCUCACCAGAAGACAUCAUCUUCCUCAUGAGGAAAGACAAGAAAAAGUUACACAGACUUCUGAAGUACAUGCAGUUCAGAGACUACAAAUCCAAAAUCCUCAAAACCAUCGACGACGAAGAACCGCUGGAAUCAGACAAAUACAGCAGCAGCGUGAACAAGAGACAGCGUCUGGCACAAGACUUUCUGAGCGUCAUCGAUCAGACGGGUGAAUUCUUGUCUCUGGUGGAGGAAGAGGACAUGGAUGAAGUCAAACAAGAGCGAUUGGAGAGAAUUGAGAAAAUGACGAGAAACAUGGAUUCCAGUCAGUACAGUGAUUUCUGUGAGAGUCGACAGCUCAGUUUUUCAAAGAAAGCCUCAAAGUUCCGUGAGUGGCUGGACUGCAGUAGUCUUGAUAUCAAACCCAACGCCAUGUCCAUGGAGAUUCUCUCAUAUCUGGCGUAUGAAACUGUGGCUCAGGUUGUUGAUCUUGCUCUGUUGGUCAAACAAGACAUGACUCCUAAAACAGGAGAUCCAUUCCAGCGCGUCAUAUCUGCCACAUUCAUCCAGUACAGCAACUCUUCAUCUGAGGCUGCAACCAGCAGAAAGGAGGCGGAGUCUCCAGAGAACACGCCCCCCUCCACCCCCGGUGCCCCUCUGACCGCCGGACAUCAGAAUAAAAGCCACUGCACAGCGGCACAGGGCAACGGUGGCCUCACGCAGGACCCCGCCAGUAAAACCAGACAGAGGAAGAGGAAGAAGAGCUCACCGGCGUACAGCUCAGAGUCUCCGAGUAACGGCAUCCAACCGGCCCACAUCAGAGAAGCCGUCAGGCGCUACAGCCACAAGAUCGCCCCGCUCUCUCUCUUCUCAAGGGACUUUGCGGGGGAUUCUUGAAAAUAGAUUAGCUUCACACAGACGUCUUCUAACUGUCACAGUACAUACAGGUAACUCCAGACUGUCUUUGAUCAUCCUGGAGGUGAUCAUUGGCUGAGCCUUUGCCAUUCUGGUUAUUCUUCUAUCCAUUUUGAUGGUUGUCUUCCGUUUUCUUCCACGUCUCUCUGGUUUUGCUCUCCAUUUUAAGGCAUUGGAGAUCAUUUUAGCUGAACAGCCUAUCAUUUUUUGCACCUCUUUAUAGGUUUUCCCAUCUCCAAUCAACUUUUUAAUCAAAGUACGCUGUUCUUCUGAACAAUGUCUUGAACGACCCAUUUUCCUCAGCUUUCAAAUGCAUGUUCAACAAGUGUUGGCUUCAUCCUUAAAUAGGGGCCACCUGAUUCACACCUGUUUCUUCACAAAAUUGAUGACCUCAGUGAUUGAAUGCCACACUGCUAUUUUUUUGAACACACCCCUUUCAACUAAUUCAACUAAUUGCCCAAUUGCACAGCCUUAAGAGCGUGCAUAUCAUGAAUGCUGGGUCUCAUUUGUUUUCUGAGAAUCUACUGAACCUACUGGUAACUUGUUUGCCACGUAGCAAUAAAAAAUAUACUAAAAACCUUGAUUAUUCUGGUUAGUCACAUUGUACUGCUAUUAUUUUGAACAACACUGUAUAUUUUUAUUGAUCAAAGAUUAUAAUGUACAAAGAAGUACAAAUGCAAAUCUAUCCCAUGGAUGGAACGAAACAAGAAAAACAACCAGGGGAGAUAAUGAAGAGGAAAAGAGAUUUAGAUCAAAUAAUCAGAGGUAAAUAAAGUAAAGGAAAUGAAGAAUCAAAAUGUUCCCAUUUGUUUUUCCAGCAAAUGACACUGGUGUGUGUUGUGUAAGAUGUUGAAGCAGGUGAAAUGUGACCCUGGAUCACAAAACCAGUCUUAAGUCGCACGGGAACAUUUUAAGAGCAAAAAAGACAUUGUAUGGGUCAAAAUUAUCAAUUUUUCUUAUAUGCCAAAAAUCAUUAGGAUAUUAAGUAAAGAUCAUGUUCCAGGAAGAUAUUUUGUAAAUUUCCUGCCAUAAAUAUAUCAAAACUUUUUUUUUGAGUGGAUGACCAGUAACAGUGCCUCAUAUUUACAACUUCAAAGGCAGUUUUUUUUAUAUUUUGAUUCUUUUGCACCCUCAGAUUCCAGAGAUUUAAACAGUUAUAUCUCCGGCAGAUAAAAUUAUAUCAUUAGAACCUAUAUAUCAAUAGAAAGCUUAAUUGUUCAGCGUUCAAAUUAUGUAAAAAUAUUGAUUUCGAAAAAUGUACCCAUAAGACUGGUUUUGUUGUCCAUGGUCACAUAAAUGGUUUCGAAGGAGAGAUUUUUGAGUAAAUGAGCCAGAGACAGACGUUGUGUGUUUGAGUCGAUGAUUAAACCUCAGGAUGAGUUUUACUCUGGUCUUUCUGAAGUGUGUUGAUGUUCAGACGGUCAGAUGUGAGACUCAUUCUCAUUAGCGUGUUCAUAUACGUGUUGGCGUGUUAGGUGGUACGCUUGAGUUUUAAAUGCAUGUGUAAUUGUGAUGAUGACUCCUCCAGACUGAAGACUGAUCUGGAAUCAUUUCUCUCUUUAGACUGUAUGUAUGUGUGUGUGUGUGUGGUUGUGUGUGUGUUAUGUAAUUUAAAUGUCUGCCCCAGUGACUGCUGCUGGCGGCUUUAUCGGCCUCGGAUUACCAAAAUCAGGUCCUUGCGAGAUUAUUAACUCUGAAAUAAAAUUAGACAAGAAACACAAGAGCCAGAAGACUGAAUUACAGCAGGACAACAAGUCAACGAACUCAAGGCUUUCAUUUCAUUUCACUGUAACAUCAUCUCACAUCACACUGGUCUUCAGUUUUUACUGCCAGAUUUAUAGAUUCUUGGCAGAAACCUUCAUCUCUUGUGCUUCUUUUGACCUCAGUAUGCUUGUUUUAUAUGCUGUAUAUAUAGACUGUAAGCCGUUGUUGUGGUACUCACUGUGAUUUAUUAUCAGUGCGCAAAAAUCUGAAAGUCAGAUUAAAAUAUAGAACAGUAAAAAUAUUAAGAUACUACAUCAGAAUUCAUCCUGUUGCAUCAUUUAUACAGAGAAACGAAUCAUAAGACUUUCAAACGAACCAGAAGAUUUCGCCUGCGCACUGAUGAUGUCAUGUGGAUGUUGCUAAGAUGCUCUGGGUUGUGUAAUGUCUUGCUAUGCCGUUGCUAGGGUAUGGUAGAUGGUUGCUAAGCUGCUCUGAGGUGUAUAGUGAGUUGCUAUGCGGUUGCUAGGGUAUGGUAGGUGGUUGCUAAGCUGCUCUGAGGUGUAUAAUGAGUUGAUAUGCCGUUGCUAGGGUAUGGUAGGUGGUUGCUAAGCUGCUCUGAGGUGUAUAAUGAGUUGAUAUGCCGUUGCUAGGGUAUGGUAGGUGGUUGCUAAGCUGCUCUGAGGUGUAUAAUGAGUUGAUAUGCCGUUGCUAGGGUAUGGUAGGUGGUUGCUAAGCUGCUCUGAGGUGUAUAAUGAGUUGAUAUGCCGUUGCUAGGGUAUGGUAGGUGGUUGCUAAGCUGCUCUGAGGUGUAUAAUGGUGAUUACAAAGUGUUAUACGUUGGGGGUUGCUUUAAAAGGUUGUAUCUAGGAGAACAUAAAUGUUGAUGGUCAUGUUUGCCGGUUGUGUUUACAUUUCAAUGGUCUUCUUGUGUGUGUGUGUGUGUGUGUGUGUGUGUGUGUGUAGAAGUUGCUGUGACAGCAGUAUUUUUUAUUUAAUUUUUUCGGUUUGCCCGUCUUUCACUCGACGUCAGACCUUGUGCCAAAGGAAACAAACGAAGGGGUGAUGCGUCUCCGCUGGUCUUGUUUGUUUCUCUAUCGUCUCUCAGUAUGUAAAGACAGACGUCUUGUGUUCUUGUCAAUGGCUCAUAAACACUGCAGUAUAAACGGCUCAUUGGAGCAGGCUUUAUAUCUCUGAAUAGCAGUUCCGUUUCUUGUGUUGGCAUCAGACGUCAGGUUCCACAUUUACUAGCCGAGGUCAUUCUUCCCCGCACUUUUAAGAGCUUGUUAUUACUCCGUGAAACUGUGUGUUGGAUGUCAGGAGAAUGGCUGGACUGGCAGAAUCUCACAGAAUGACAUACGGUAGUCUUCCAAAGAGGCAAUAUUUUAUGGAAAUGAUAUUCAGACCUCCCGGUGCAGAACUACUGGCGCCGUUGGAAGCAAAGCGUGAUGUUUGUCUUCGAAGUAAGUUUGUCAGGGACUUCUGAAUUCUGACCCAUGGACACAAAAGACUUUAUUUGUUUUUAUUUUGUGCCAGAAAUCUUGGCAGAGGUGCUCCAUCUUCUCUUAUUUGUUGAAGCAUUGAUAUGAAAAUACUAUGCCAUUAGAAGCAGGAGGUUGCCAGAAACCUCUUUGCCGUUUCUCUCUCUAGAUUUAUGGAGUGUUUUUUUCCCUCUCUUCUUCUUCGUCUUCUUCUUCAGUGUAAUUUCUGUUGAGCUGCAUCUGGAAGUAUUUAUUUCAGUGCCGUGUAAUCCAUCUGCUGUGGCAGUAAACAGACCGGCUAUUAUUUUUUAAUAAAGUCUCAUCUUCAGGCUUUGUGAGACGGCAGCCCUUCGUCUGUUUCAGAUACUCUUGAUUUACGGGGGGGUUUUCCGGCCGCUGACCCUCGAAUCCCACUUCACAGCAUGCUGGUGUACAGUACGGCCCAUUAAAGUCCAGCGCUGAGCGUGAAUCUGGACGGCGUUCAACUCUCCAAAUGACAGAUCUAAUCCUUUAUGCAGAAAUCUCAGAGGUGCUGCUUUACUCUAAAUCACACGCAUGGAAAUCUAAACGCUACUGUGCACCCUUCACAUGUAAUAGUGAUGUUUACAUUAAAGACACUUUAACCGCAUGUACAGAAAUCAGCUCUUCAGUUUAUUAUCAUGACAUCACUGAUACACUACUGGAUAAAAAUAUUUUGAACAUGUGACGUCACAUGACCCAAAAGAGACUUUCAGAACACUAGAUAAAGAGACGUCUUACACUGUUUAUAUGCAGAGCCAUUUGUCAAUGUGAUGUGAUGGAUCUCAACCUUCUGCACGUGAUCUGAUGUAAUGAGGAAACUGCUAGACUACAGAUUUUUAUCUAUAUUUCAAUUGCUUGUUGUUGUUAAUUUCUACGUAUUAAUUGCAAGCAGAUUUGUUUUUUUUUAAUAGUAAUAUACACUGAAAACACUUGCCACAAAAGAAAAUACUGCAUGCAAAAUAAUUUGGAAAAUAGACACACAAAUAUAAGAAGCAAUGUGGAGACUUUAGUGGCAUCUAGUGGUGAGGUUGUGAAUUGCGAUCAACGGCUCGUUCCGCCCCCGGGCCCCCGCCUUUUGUUGACACAAAACAAAGAUGUUUCGCUUCUUUGCCGAAGGAGAUUAAAGCAAUAACCCCCACAAAGCAGUGUGUUACAGUGCAUUUUAUAACGGCUAAGGGCGUUGUGGCACGACGUGAAGCGGAGUCCUUAAAACCCCUUCAUCUGUUAUAAAAUGCACUGUAAUACACUGCUUCGCUAGGCUUAUUGCUUUUAUAAAACUGUUAUUCCAUAUGUGUAAACUUAAAGUAAAUAAAAUGAUAUUUAGGCUAUGUAAUAAGGGUAUUAUAUAACGGCUUAGAACUCUGCUCAGCCAAUCAAAAUCAAGGACCAGAACUGACCAAUUAUAAAACGCAUUUAUGAACCGCGUUCUGUAGAGCAGCUUGUCUGUUUAGGGCUACUGUAGAAACAACAUGAAUUCUAUGUAAGGUGACCCACGGUGUGUAUCGCUCUGCUCUUUAUUAUAUAAGGUCUUUAUACACCUCUGAACACAUAGUUAUGUAUAUUAUAUUGCAUUUCUGUCAAUAGAUCCUCCAAAAAUGACACACAGGACCUUUAAAGGGACACUUCACCCAAAAAAGGAAAUUCUGUCAUCAUUUACUCGCCUUCGAGUUGUUCCAAAUCUGUAUAAAUGUCUUUGUUCUGAAAGGAAAAAUUACUUUAUCCUUUUUUGUUCUGUUGAACACAAAAGAAGAUAUUUUAAAGAAUGUAGGACAGCAAAAAGGUUCCGGGACACUUUUGACCACCAGUGUAUUUUUCCUACUAUGGGAGUCAAUGGGGUCAAAAUCUGUCUGGUUAUACGCAUUCUUCCAAAUAACUUCCUCUGUGUUUAUCACAACAAAGACAUUUAUACAGAUUUGGAAAAAUUGAGUAAAAGAUGACAGAAUUUUCCUUUUUGGGUGACGUCGUCCGUUUUUUCUGUGUAUUUUAUAUCCUAUACAUACAGUAUAAAUAUUAUAUAUAACACACACAGUUCUCUUUUGUAUUAACUAAUGUUUGUGUGUGUUUAACUAAUUUGUGUGUGUGCACGAGUACUGUAUGCAUUUACAAAUAUUUAUGCCAAAUCGUCGUCAAGUUUUCAGUAUUGCGCUUUAAAUAGAAUGACGGUAUACUUUUGUAUCACGUUUGGUUGUGUGUCUGUGCAGGUCUUCUUGAAUCAUCAUUGUGUGAUUUUGCACAAAAGCCGGUCCCAAGUUCAUCUCACAUUAAGCGUGUCUAUUUCCCUAAAUCCCUAAAUCCUGUCCUGGGGCUUUACAUCCUCACAUGUGAAGUGUCAGGCAGACGCGGUGUCUGAGGGUCGGUCGAUGGGGAAUCCCGAUCAUACGACUGCGGCCUCGACUCCAUUCAUGCGGCUCCAGACGGACACGAGGCGGCGGCUCUCCUCACAUUCUCACAUCUGUGCGUCAUGAAUAAACACAAGCGGGAGUUCUGUUGUCUCAUUACAGACGCUCACCUCUCUCAUCUGUAUCUGUCAGUUCUGUGUCUAUGUGUGGAUAAGAAUCGAUCGCUGUUCAGUGUCCCUUUUGAAUCGUUCCUCCGUGUGUGUUUUGGGGGUGAAGUUCCUGCUGUGGCUCGGUCUCUGACAGAUCUGUGUUUUUCUUCGCUUGUAUUUAUGUUCUUUUUCUAGCGGAGUGUUUAACUGUAUUCCUGACCUCUUUGUCUGAUGUGUAUCUUGGCCUGUGGAUCGGGCGUAAAGGAGGUGUUGGGAGCAGAAAUAUGCGCACCGCUCAACUUUACGAAGCGUGAGAAGGACUUUGUUUUGUUUAUUGUUUCCGUCUUCGUCAAAGUCUGGAGAUGAUGACGAUCCGCGGCUCUUCACGCACGAGACGGAGUCCGAACAAAGGCGACGCGUGGCGUGUUGUUUACAGCGGACGGUAAACAGUGAGCGUUUCAUCCGGUUUAAAAAUAGAGGAGAGACAGAACGAUGUUGUUUGUAACGACUUGCACAUGUGAGUUUCUCUCAUUGAUAAUUGGCGUGUCAUCUCUCGGCCCAGAGGAGAUGCUUUGUCUCUCACAUUUACACGACUCAACGGACAACCGGAGGACACCAGAGCUCUGAUCAAAGAUAAAGCUCCUCUCACCGGGGGUCAUCCGUCUUCUUGGGCUCGAUCCUGGCAGAGAUGUGACUCAACGGGCGGGAGAAGAGAAGGGCAAACACUUUCCUUCCUCACGCAAACAAGACUCCAGCAAAACGGCUUCUCUUUCAACUCCACGGCCUGCCAAAAACCAGCUCCAGUUCUUCAGAAGUUCAACUCUCGUCCUAAUAUAACGCUGAUCAGAUCACCCCGAGAGCGCCCACCGCAGGAACGGCAUGACCUUCCUCGCCUGCUGAACCUCAACACAAACACACCGACCCGACGCCUGAAGAUGCUGUUCUACACAACUCGUGGAAGCACUUCUGUUAUUUCUCUUUGUUUUGUUGUUUAGUUGUGAGUUAUUCUCAGUGUAUGUUGGACACAUGAAAUCACCUGUUGGAUUUGGAUGUGGUGUCGGUGAUGUGGAAUCAGUUCUGGUUGUUUUUGUCUUUAUUUGAAAACUGAAAAUCCAUCUUUCAUUUGUUGCUUUAAAUGUUCGAUUUUUUAUCGCAUCUUCAGAUUUCUUUGUAUUUAUAAAAUAAAAUGAAUCUUGUGUCAGAA